AGCUGUGCCAGAGGUUGCUGAGACGCAGGGCCAGAGAGCUCAAGUGCGGGUCACCGGGUUUGACAACAUGGAAAUCCCUGGUGACCCGGAGGAGGAAAAUUUUGGUGGAGUAGAUUAGCAGCACAUAGAAGCAAAGCCCGCGUGAGAGGCCGGAGUGAAAGGACCAGCUCUCCGCAUGACAUAUGCCUGUAGUACACGGUGACUGGCAGAUCUUUGGCCUGGAGACCAUUCUGUUUUUCUCCCAUAAAUCAGCGGCAAGUCUUGUUGGCUGGUGGCAAUUAAGAUAAUGAGGAUGCCUCGAUUGUAAUAUGGACACCGAACAUAGGAUAGAAUCUGCUGAGAAACAGACAAAAGUCAUCCAAAUGACAGACCGUGGUAUGAGGCUCAGUGAUGCCAGACUUCAGCACGGAGACUCAGGGGCAGCUUUUAUGAGGUUAAGUGUCAUGUCAUGGGAGAAGGGCAAAUAAAGAGCGCCUGCUGGCUCUACUCUGGCUCUACACUACUUUCCCUCCACCGUCCCUGCCUGGCUGCCAGGCAGCUGCCCCCAGAGUCCUCAAGGGCAGAGGAAACUAAGGAAGACUUAGCCAAGGCUGGAUGGGAACCAAUGGUAGAAUCAUUUGUACUCAUCCCUUGGAGAAGAGCCAUUUUUCUUUUCUGCAAACUAAGGGUGUGGCUUUUCCUUUUUUUUUUUUUUUUUUAAGGCUCUGAUGUGAAGUCAUAACAUCUCUAGGUUUUUACUGUCAGUCUUCCUCUUGGAAUUGAGACUUCUUCUUGUGUAACUUUUCUCCCCCCACCCCCCUGCCAAAAUGUGUAAAAACUGCAGGUUAACUGUAAGAGAAAUAUGCAAAAAGAGACAAAGUAUUAUUGGUAGUUAUGGGGCUCCAUCCUUCCAUACUUUCAGGCAUAAGAUGUCAUAUCAAUCCCUAUUCACUUGUACUAUUGACAUUCUGAAUCUGUGACCAUGUCACUUGGAACUUUCUUUUAUUUGAACUAUAGGACUUAUCAUUUAUCAAUAUUUACAUGCCUGCAGAAUGUGGCUGUAACAGGUCAUAUCCUAGUAGGGGAGCAAUUCACAUCCAAAGUUCAUUUGGCAUUUUAUCACUGGUUACACUUUCUACAGGGCAAAUAAAUACUUUGCCCACACUGCAUCAAUGAUUUGAAGUAUUGUGAUUGCUAAAGGUGCCUGUUGUAUCAUGUAUAUUUGUGCUCUAGGAUAUGUUUCACCUAUUUUCCCAUUAUCUGAAAUAAUUCCUUCUGAACCUUAUCUAAAAGACAUGCCAAAAAU